UACGUAGGGGGCAAGCGUUGUCCGGAAUCAUUGGGCGUAAAGCGCGCGUAGGUGGCUUCGUAAGUCCGUUGUGAAAGUCAAAGGCUCAACCUUUGAAAGCCGAUGGAUACUGCGGAGCUAGAGUACGGAAGAGGCGAGUGGAAUUCCUGGUGUAGCGGUGGAAUGCGCAGAUAUCAGGAGGAACACCAAUAGCGAAGGCAGCUCGCUGGGACGUUACUGACACUGAGGCGCGAAAGCGUGGGGAGCGAACAGG
rnacentral:rRNA from 1 species